UAACGCGUAAACAACCUGCCCUUCGGAUGGGGAUAACAGCCGGAAACGGCUGCUAAUACCGAAUACGAUCUUUUCGUCGCAUGACGGAAAGAAGAAAGGAUGGCCUCUAUACAAAGCUAUCGCCGAAGGAGGGGUUUGCGUCUGAUUAGCUGGUUGGAGGGGUAACGGCCCAACAAGGCGAUGAUCAGUAGCCGGUCUGAGAGGAUGAACGGCCACAUUGGGACUGAGACACGGCCCAGACUCCUACGGGAGGCAGCAGAU
rnacentral:rRNA from 1 species